AGAAGUUGAAGUUGAUGAAGGAGAUGUGCUGUCCAGGAGGAUCGAGGAUGUGCUGCAAAGUCUCCGACCACAUCCAAACCUUGAGAAACUAUCAAUUGUUGAUUAGCCUGGUUAUGUGUUCCCCAGUUGGAUGGGUAGUCACGUGGAUUUCAUGACUUUCUCCAGUCUGGUUUUCUUGGAACUCUAUGGAUGCAGGAAGUGUAAGGAAUUGCCUCUGACUUUAGGGAAACUACAAUCCGUUGAAACCCUUGUAAUAGUUGGAAUGAAUCAGGUGAAAUUCAUGGGUGUUGAGCUUUUUGCAACUGAUGGUGGGGUUGACACAAUAUUCCCAAAUUUGAAAGUAUUUCAAUUGGGUGGAAUGCGAAAUUUGGAGGAGUGGGAUGUGAGAGUACAAGAAGAUGGGAAAGAGUUCAUCUUUAUGCCGUGUCUCCAAUAUCUUGUUCUUCUUGAUUUGCCCAAGUUAAGGUUGUUCCCACAACACCUUACCCAAGCUACAUUCCUGAGGAAAUUGAUGAUAUGGAAAUGUCCAAACUUGAAUUGGAUGCCACCAUCUCCAUCAUCCCAUCUUCCUUUUCUAUACAUUGAGGAGUUGAUUUUAAAGGAAGUUGCAGGUUCAUUUUCAAAGUCAUUAGUACCAAACAACCACAUGCUCCUCCCUAAGCUCAAGUUGUUGCGUGUGAGAAAGUCACCUUACUCGCCGUUACCUGAAGACUUAAGGCAACUCACAUCACUUGAGAUUCUGGAUAUUCGAACAUGUUCUAAGAUCAAGUCAAUACCUGAGGGGGAGAGUUGCAGCAUCUCUCCGCACUCCAAGAGUUGACGAUCAUGAGGUGUCCAGUCUUGAGAUGGCGUUGCCAAAAGGAGAUAGGAGAGGAUUGGAGCAAGAUAACCCACAUCCCAAAAAUCUUCAUCGAUGGAGAGAAGAUCAAAUGAGGAACAACUUCCACAACAACAGAAGCGGACAGGAUGAGACACUCCACAUCAAUAGUUGAUCGAGAGAACACGACCUCCUCAAAGCUCAAACUCUAGAGAUGACGAAGACAAAUGCAUGAGCAAUUCCACAGGAAUAUCAUUUUCACUUCCAGAUAUCACAGAUGAUCAAUCGAACCUAGGACCGUGUGUCUAUCCUCUGCCUUGAUUUUAAUAUUUAGAAGACAAAAAAAUGCAAAUGGGUAUCAAAGUCCUUGUCACUGAUCCAAGGGAGCUUGAAAAAUUCAUCAAAAGGUAAUUUGAUGAACAUUAGAUCUUUCGAAAUAGUUGUCACAUUGCAAAUUAAUGAGAUGAAUUCUUAGUGGCUUUUGAA